rnacentral:rRNA from 1 species
UACGGGGGGGGGCAAGCGUUGUUCGGAAUUACUGGGCGUAAAGGGCGCGUAGGCGGCCUGCUAAGUCGGACGUGAAAUCCCUCGGCUCAACCGAGGAACUGCAUCCGAUACUGGCGGGCUUGAAUCCGGGAGAGGGAUGUGGAAUUCCAGGUGUAGCGGUGAAAUGCGUAGAUAUCUGGAGGAACACCGGUGGCGAAGGCGGCAUCCUGGACCGGUAUUGACGCUGAGGCGCGAAAGCUAGGGGAGCAAACGGG